rnacentral:rRNA from 1 species
AUUGAACGCUGGCGGCAUGCUUUACACAUGCAAGUCGAACGGCAGCGCGGGCUUCGGCCUGGCGGCGAGUGGCGAACGGGUGAGUAAUGCAUCGGAACGUGCCCAGUAGUGGGGGAUAGCCCGGCGAAAGCCGGAUUAAUACCGCAUACGACCUGAGGGUGAAAGCGGGGGACCGAAAGGCCUCGCGCUAUAGGAGCGGCCGAUGUCGGAUUAGCUAGUUGGUGGGGUAAAGGCUUACCAAGGCGACGAUCCGUAGCUGGUCUGAGAGGACGACUAGCCACACUGGGACUGGGACACGGCCCAGACUCCUACGGGAGGCAGCAGUGGGGAAUUUUGGACAAUGGGGGCAACCCUGAUCCAGCCAUGCCGCGUGCGGGAAGAAGGCCUUCGGGUUGUAAACCGCUUUUGUUCGGGAAGAAAUCCUCUGGGCUAAUACCCCGGGGGGAUGACGGUACCGGAAGAAUAAGCACCGGCUAACUACGUG